GGGCCCGCACAAGCGGUGGAGCAUGUGGUUUAAUUCGACGCAACGCGCAGAACCUUACCAGCCCUUGACAUGCCGUGCUAUGCGCAGAGAUGCGCAGUUCCAGCAAUGGACGCGGACACAGGUGCUGCAUGGCUGUCGUCAGCUCGUGUCGUGAGAUGUUGGGUUAAGUCCCGCAACGAGCGCAACCCUUGCCUUCAGUUGCCAUCAUUUAGUUGGGCACUCUGGAGGGACUGCCGGCGGUAAGCCGGAGGAAGGUGGGGAUGACGUCAAGUCCUCAUGGCCCUUACGGGCUGGGCUACACACGUGCUACAAUGGUGGCGACAGAGGGCGCAGGCGAGAGCGCAAGCUUUAGCAAAUCCUCAAAAGCCAUCUCAGUUCAGAUUGCGCUCUGCAACUCGGGCGCAUGAAGGUGGAAUCGCUAGUAAUCGCAGAACAGCAGGCUGCGGUGAAUACGUUCCCGGGCCUU
rnacentral:rRNA from 1 species